UACGGAGGAUCCAAGCGUUAUCCGGAUUUAUUAGGUUUAAAGGGUGCGUAGGCGGGACUUUAAGUCAGUGGUGAAAUACUUAAGCUUAACUUAAGCACUGCCAUUGAUACUGGAGACCUUGAGUGCGAUUGAGGUAAGCGGAAUAUGUAAUGUAGCGGUGAAAUGCAUAGAUAUUACAUAGAACACCGAUUGCGAAGGCAGCUUACUAAGUCGCAACUGACGCUGAGGCACGAAAGCGUGGGGAUCAAACAGG
rnacentral:rRNA from 1 species